rnacentral:rRNA from 2 species
GGUAGCCGUAGAGUGUGAUCCUGGCUCAGGAUAACUCGUAACAGGGUACCCGUAGAGUUUGAUCCUGGCUCAAGAUAUCUCACGCCCUGGUCCCCAUAGUUUUUCUGUCAACCGGGUCUAAUACCGGAUACUGAUCCUCGCAGGCAUCUGCGAGGUUCCAAAGCUCCGGCGGCGCUGGAUGAUCCCGCGUGCUAACAGCUAGUUGGAGAAGUAACUUCUUAACAUGGUAACGAAAGUUAGACAAGCUGAGAAGCCCGGCCGAAAAUCCUUAGACAUUUCAUUUUUUGAGAGGUCUAAGGCCUUUUUUUUGUUUGACCCGUUUCGAAUCCAAGAAAGUUUUGGAUUGGAUUGAAUUGUUGAGGAAAUUGAAAAACGGUAUUUCCUUGUCCUGGAACCUUUAAACACUACUCAACAGCAACCGUUGAAAAGCCCCGGCCACUACGUACCGGAGCAGGGGGAAACGAGGCCGCAGGGUUUUCGAGGAUUUUUAGGCGUUAAGAAUUUUUGCCUUUGGGCAAAACUACCCCAAAGCUCGGCAUAUGCCCGGCCCGCAAAUUAUACGUGAGGCAAGACUAGGGAGGAGAUAUCCGGGCCCGGGUGAAGCGGCAAAGCCGCAAAUGGCAGGAUAAAAACGGUAGCAAAAGGCAGAGCCCGGGGUUUAAGCGGGGAAAAACGAGGGAAACCGAGGGGGUGGAAUACGAAUAUUUCCCUCUAAUCAAGGUAUAAACCCAAAAAACUACCUGUCGCCAAGGGUGUCCCCUUUGACGUGGGCCCAUUUUAAGCGUUAAUGCGAGAAUCCCGGAGCCCCCCGACCGAAGGGUAACACCUCCCAUGAAAGUCGGGGCGGCCCCCGAUCAAACCCCCGGACUUUUUAGUCUAGAUUCGGACGACCCGCAAAAAACUUUUUUAAGCCUAACAUACCCCGGAAAACCGGGGAGACAGGGUCCCCCUUGUGGUCGGUGUACAGGUGGUGCAUGGCUGUUGUCAGCUGGUGUCUUGAGAUGUUUGGUUAAGUCCCGCAACGAGCGCAACCCCUGUGCCGUGUUGCCAGCAGGCCCUUGUGGUGCUGGGGACUCACGGGAGACCGCCGGGGUCAACUCGGAGGAAGGUGGGGACGACGUCAAGUCAUCAUGCCCCUUAUGUCUUGGGCUGCACACGUGCUACAAUGGCCGGUACAAUGAGCUGCGAUACCGCGAGGUGGAGCGAAUCUCAAAAAGCCGGUCUCAGUUCGGAUACGGUCUGCAAAUAGAUUGUUACAAGUUGGCGGUAUAUUUUGUCACAGUCUCGCUAUAUUGUGUCACAAUGGCUCUGUAGAUUGUUCCACGCUCUCCGUAUAUUGUGACACGGUGGCGCCAGAGGUUGUUCCCCGCUCGCCGUAUGUCGUAACACAGGCGCCGUAGAGUUACGGUC